rnacentral:tRNA from 3 species
CAAAAUGUAGCUUAAAUAAAAGCAUCUCGCUUACACCGAAAAGACAUCUGUGAAACUCAGAUCAUUUUG